CAGCCGCCGCGGUAAUACGUAGGGUGCGAGCGUUAAUCGGAAUUACUGGGCGUAAAGCGUGCGUAGGCGGCUUCUUAAGUCGGAUGUGAAAUCCCUGAGCUUAACUUAGGAAUUGCAUUCGAUACUGGGAAGCUAGAGUAUGGGAGAGGAUGGUAGAAUUCCAGGUGUAGCGGUGAAAUGCGUAGAGAUCUGGAGGAAUACCGAUGGCGAAGGCAGCCAUCUGGCCUAAUACUGACGCUGAGGUACGAAAGCAUGGGGAGCAAACAGGAUUAGAUACCCCAGUAGUCCCUGUCUCUUAUAA
rnacentral:rRNA from 1 species